rnacentral:rRNA from 1 species
GAUGAACGCUGGCGGCGUGCCUAAUACAUGCAAGUCGAGCGAACAGAUGAGGAGCUUGCUCCUCUGACGUUAGCGGCGGACGGGUGAGUAACACGUGGAUAACCUACCUAUAAGACUGGGAUAACUUCGGGAAACCGGAGCUAAUACCGGAUAAUAUAUUGAACCGCAUGGUUCAAUAGUGAAAGACGGUUUUGCUGUCACUUAUAGAUGGAUCCGCGCCGCAUUAGCUAGUUGGUAAGGUAACGGUUUACCAAGGCAACGAUGCGUAGCCGACCUGAGAGGGGGAUCGGCCACACUGGAACUGAGACACGGUCCAGACUCCUACGGGAGGCAGCAGUAGGGAAUCUUCCGCAAUGGGCGAAAGCCUGACGGAGCAACGCCGCGUGAGUGAUGAAGGUCUUCGGAUCGUAAAACUCUGUUAUUAGGGAAGAACAAAUGUGUAAGUAACUAUGCACGUCUUGACGGUACCUAAUCAGAAAGCCACGGCUAACUACGUG